rnacentral:lncRNA from 1 species
GAUGAGUCAUUUAUUAUCUAUUUUAAUAUGUUACUUAGUUUAGUUUUAAUUAGAUUUAAGUUUAUUUUAUAUUAGUAUUAUUUCCUUUUUGAGAUAGUUUACUACAAAUUGCAUUUUAUUAUAUUUCAGGAACGAAUAUUGGAUGGAUUGAAUCUUGGAGCAAAAGAAAGGGACUUGGAGCUGAUUUAGUACGAAAAUACGAAGAUUCGGAGACAAAAAUAUGUCUCNNN